CUCUCAUUCACUCUCAUCUGAUUUUUUAAGACCAUUCAAAGUGUUCUCUCAAUAUUCAACCUCAAGAACACCAAGGAAAACUUGGAGGCUAAGUCUUGGUCUAGGAAGUAUUUUCCCUAAGGUAAACCUUCACUAAUCUAGGCUUUUGUAAAGUUUUAAGCUUAGAGUUUCAAAUAGCUAAUUAACUAUGUUGUUGGGGGAAGUUGGUUAGGGUUUUUGAAAGGUUUUGGAGGAGCCAAAGCUAAUAGGAAGGUCCAAACCUUAAGCAAGAACACCAAAGAGUAUUGGCUAAGCGUAACUGGACUGAACGUUGGAGGGUGAAAACUUGCUGAGCGCUAAGGACUCCAAGUAAGUGCAAGGGCAAGGCAGAGCAGUGAGCGCUGGAGUCUUCCUUGCAAAUGUACAUGUGGACCGACCUUUUGGGAAGCCUUUUUAUUUUUGGAAAUGUUGUGUAAUUUUCCUAAACUAGGCUCACUCUAAUCUUUAUAAAACAUGUUUGUAAUUAAAUGUUAAGUAUGGCCAUACGACUUUUUAAAAAGUUUUUUUUUCUA